UACGUAGGGGCCUAGCGUUGUCCGGAUUUAUUGGGCGUAAAGAGCUCGUAGGCGGCCAACUAAGUCAGACGUGAAAUCCCUCAGCUUAACUGGGGAACUGCGUCUGAUACUGGAUGGCUUGGAUUCGGGAGAGGAAUGCGGAAUUCCACGUGUAGCGGUGAAAUGCGUAGAGAUGUGGAGGAACACCAGUGGCGAAGGCGACUCUUUGGCCUGUAACUGACACUGAGGCGCGAAAGCGUGGGGAGCAAACAGG
rnacentral:rRNA from 1 species